ensembl:lncRNA
CAUCCCAACAGCAUAAAGUUGACCAAGGAGCACGGGAAAAGUUGCACAGCAUCGCUACUCAUCCUGAGGAUUAAAGUGAAAACACCACGAGGAAAGACUCCUGGUUUCUAGUUUUGCAUGAAGGAGCCUGGAAGUUUGCAGCUCAUCCUCACACAGACACCCUGGUGAACCUACUAGAAACCUGACAGUUCUCAUAGGCUGUGCAAGAAAGGUGAGCACACACAGGAGGAAAUACAUAGAGAGACUGGAGUUCAGGAUGAAGUCAGCAGGUCACAGGCACCCUGGGACCUUGUCACACUUGCCUGACCCUGACCCCGCCGGCACAAGAGGGUCUGGUUCUGCGGUUCCUUUACUCGCAGCAAUUGAGUCUGGUUCCCAAGAAGACGCCCCACGCAGGACGAGGAGAGCGAGCGGGUUGGAAGGAAUCCACGGCCGGAGUUACCUGAGAAGACUCUGAGGUGGAAGAAAAUGAAUGCGGUAUGCGGAGAAGACCCAUGGUUGCAAGGCUUGACCAGCUCUCAAAUGCCAUCAUCUGUUGACUGUUCCCAGGAAUUGGUCCAUGCGUUCCCUGAAAACCCUCAAGAUCUGAUAAUGCUCACCAGACCCGUCCUCACAGACACUCACGAGAUGUGCUCCACUAAUUUCCCAGGUAUUUCCUAAUCUUAGCACGUUGACAAUCAAGGCUGAGCAUCCCAACAGCACAAAGUUGACCAAGGAGCACGGGAAAAGUUGCACAGCAUCGCUACUCAUCCUGAGGAUUAAAGUGAAAACACCACGAGGAAAGAUUCCUGGUUUGUCGCUUUGCUUGAACGAGCCUGGAAGUUUGCAGCUCAUCCUCACCCAGACACCCUGGUGAACCAACUAGAAACCUGACAGUUCUUCUAGGCUGUGCAAGAAAGGUGAGCACACACAGGAGGAAAUACAUAGAGAGACUGGAGUUCAGCGUUGAAGUCAGCAGGUCACAGGCACCCUGGGUCCUUGUCACACUUGCCUGACCCUGACCCCGCCGGCACAAGAGGGUCUGGUUCUGCGGUUCCUUUACUCGCAGCAAUUGAGUCUGGUUCCCAAGAAGACGCCCCACGCAGGACGAGGAGAGCGAGCGGGUUGGAAGGAAUCCACGGCCGGAGGUGCGGGAGUGUUUCCCGGGUGACCAGCAGGGGGCGCGGGGCGGGAGAGGCCUUCGGGGCUCCUGAAGUUGGGGUUCCCUGGAAUGAGGGGAGUGUGUGAGCCGGGCGGGCUGAGAGCAGGUUAGAGCCAGGCUGACAGCGGUUGGGGAGAAGGCGAACUGGGCGUGGUAGUUUUCACUCUACACUCCGCCCACAGUGUUUGUUGGCACGGUGAUGACGUCAUCCUAACUCAGAGCUAACUAAUGGUUUGAUGGGCCUGACUCCUGCCGGCUCUGGUGGCGCAGGCCGGAAGGAUUUGCUGAAGGAGGCAGAGGCAGGUGGAUCUGGAGUUCGAGGCCAGCCAGGACUACACAUUUUUUUUUCUUGUUCUCCAACAAAACAUCCACAGCUACACACUACACUAAAAUUCCUACACUCACAAAGCCUCUCUGCACUUUAUUCUCAACCUCAUUUCCCUCGCGACCGACUCCCAACCAACACCAUCUUCUCCAGACGCACAGGCGCCUGCUCCACCCCGCUGCUCACAACAAGCCUUUGCUCACACACAGACUCACACGCUCCAUCUCCGCGCUGGCCAAUGCUCGCACUGCUCACUCCUCUCCCCGACAGGCUCCCUUCCCUACAACCCCUCUCUCUCCUCAGACACUCCAACCCUGAGCUUCAUUUGUCUCUAGCCUGCGCGUGCCAGGGUCUGCUUCUUGACCCCAGCGUCAGGGCUCGCUGUGCGGGGUCCCAGGGAGCAUCCAGACAGAGAUCCGCAGUCCCACAGUCGGCGCCACGCGGCUCACGACACACAGAUUGUCCUCUCCUCCGCCAGAAUUCAUUCACUUAGCACGACGGCCUCUUUUCAUCUUCCCUGUGCCUCGUACACUUGCUCCCUCCAGCUCCUGCUGGGGACCCCACAGCCUGUCCCUGUCCCCUCCUUCUCCUCCUACUCCUGCCCUCUGUUCUUCUGCUGCUAGAGGGUAGGGAUGAGGCGGGCCGGGGUCCACGUGGCUCUGGAACCUCCAGGUCUUCCUCCGUCAGUGUGGACAGCAUGUGGGAGGCCAACACUAAGUGGCCCUUCCUGCUUAAGGAUGAAGGAUGCCGCGUCCUACUAUGCACAAGCCAUUCGCGUAUAACGAACUCUUCCUGAGGCUAAGCACGCAAGGCUGUGGUUUCUACACUGGGCCACAGGUCCUGCUGCUGUCAACAUGGGCAUAUGGGUACCUGCUACACCCCUGCGGGCCUAUCCCGCGGGCCACCUGGGGACAGCUGGGGAAGAAUGCAGCCCUGCACAAAACUGAAAACUCACUUAAAACAUGAUGAGACCUUUUGUGUUUGAGUUUGGCUUUGUUUUGACCCAAUCGUGCAGUUCUCAAGAGUGAACUGGGUGCGCCGCAGCAUCCUGUGGCCGUGUCAGAGGGUUGGACACGCCUGUGCCUGUGCAUCGGGUCCUCACUGUGACAAUACUGAGGGGGACGGAUGCUGGACCACAGGCUCCAGUCUUGACUCCAGCUUCUGUCCCACCUUCUCCUUCCAGUUUCCUCCCAUGUCUUCCCUCCUAUCGGUUAAAACCCACCCUGUGCCGGCUCAUUUGGGGCUGCACCCACCCACCUGUCCAAAAAGGCACAGGGGAAAGAACAACUCACGACAACAGUAUCCCCACCAUGGGUGCUGCUCUGUUUUGUGACUUGGACUGAAGUUGAGAGUCUUCAGGAAGAGGAGACAUCACUGCGAAAAUCCCUCCAUAAGACGGGGUAGGCAGUAAGUCCGUGUGACAUUUUCUUUGCCAUCAUCUGUUGAAUAUCCCCAGGAAUUGGUCCAUGCGUUCCCUGAAAACCCUCAAGAUCUGAAAUGUUCACCAGACCCGUCCUCAAGGAAUCCACGGCCGGAGGCCUCCUGGAAGACUUACUAAGCACAGCAUCACUACUCAUCAUGAUUAUUAAAGUAAAAACACAGUGAGAAAAGACUCCUGGUUUCUACCAUCUUUCUCCUGUCAGAAUGGCCAAUAUCAAAAACACCAAUGACAGAUUAUGCUGGAGAGGAUGUGGAGAAAGGGGAGCCUUCUCCACUGCUGGUGGGAGUGCCAACUCCAGCCACUUUGGAAAUCAGUAUGGUGACUCCUCAAGAAAAUGGGAAUGAGUCUACCACAAGAUCCAGCAAUUCCACUGUUAGGCAUAUACCCAAAAGAAGCACAUUCAUACAACAAAGUCAUCUGUUCAAUGAUGUUCAUAGCAGCAUUAUUUGUAAUAGCCAGAAACUGGAAG